CAUGUUCCUCCCUUAUACCUGUAGUGAGCGAUGUUUGGUACUUGUAUGUACGACCUCAAAUGUAAUACUGUUUUCACGGUUGAUCAAGCAGUCCUUCCUUCAUAUUGCAGGAUCGAAGUGUGAGUUGGAGAGGGUAAAUGUCUCCCGUGGAAUGCGGCCAAGUUAGCUGAUAAAGCUAAUACCAGAUCUCUUUGAACGUUUAAAUUAUCGAGUGACAAGAGAGCUGAGCCUUAGUUUAUAGGGCUGAGGGUAACUGCCAAGUUGGAAGUAUAAAGCAACUUUCUGAAAGAAUAUGCAACUGAGUUACAUCAGGUAAGCAGAGAAGGUUUUAAAUGAUGCUCUGAAUAUGAGAAGGCACUGAUCAUCACAAACAUUCAGAGACAAAGAGAGGGACAAGACUGGCAGACACUCAAUGGUGAGCAAGAACAGGGAAAAGGAAAGACCUCCCAAAGGCCAGAGGAGUGAAAGAAAGUCUGAAGGCACAGGAGCCCGAGCCCGACAAUGAGAAGGAAUGGAAUGCCUGAGAUCAGUGGGAAGCGCUUAGAUGAUAAGAAACACGGAAGUAAAUGGUCUAAUUUAUGGUCUAAAAAAAACCCUCUGGAUAUCUUUGGGAAAGUGAAUAUGAGAAGCUGAGCAGGCAAGCUGCAAACAGAUGAACAGACCUCUAGGUAGUCACUUGUGGUGAUGCGACACCAGAGAAAAGGAACAGGAGGCAGAAGACAGGAACCAUUCACUGGCAAGUUGUGAUAUGGGGUUUCUCCCAGGCUACGACUCUAGUGAGAUUAAAAGAUAGAAAAGAGCAUUCCCAUUCAAAAGCAUUUAAGAUGAAGAAGAUGAAGCCCAGAAAGGAUGAAUGAUAUGGGCUAUGUGCCUCAUAGGAGGAGCUGAACCCAAACACAAAGUUCCUUACUUUCCAAAUGUCCACCAACUAUGUUGCAAGCAGCCUUUCAUUUUGUACUCCAAGGCACUGAUAACAAUUUUGAGUUAUAGAAGCUCUACCUACUAUGAAAUUGAAUUAAAUUUAAUCUUUACUGGAAAUAUAGGGGUAGGAGACAGAGAAGCAACUUGAACUUGGAUCUUUUGAGACUGGACCAAGUGAGCAGGAAGUAGCAACCACUUUGGACUCAUUGAUAACACAUAUGCGUAUCAGAGGAUGGGAAA
rnacentral:lncRNA from 1 species